rnacentral:ncRNA from 1 species
AGAAACGCUUAGAAAAGAUGAGUAGUGUUCUAAUGACUUUACAGAGAAUCACCGGUGCUGAGAGGUGACGAGUCGGCGGCUCACGAAGAUGGUCUUGGAGCAAGUUGUGAUUGCGAGCUACGGUAAGUAAUCCACGGUUGACGACCGAUAGCAAGUCUAGGUUUACCAGAUCGGUGUACCUAUUGAGGGUGGGGAUGUGAGUCCCUACCAAAUUAGGGUGGUAUCACGUUAAUGAAUUUCUAACGUCCCUAGG